CCAGACUCCUACGGGAGGCAGCAGUCGAGAAUCAUUCACAAUGGGGGGAACCCUGAUGCAGCGACGCCGCGUGGGUGAAGAAGCGCCUCGGCGCGUAAAGCCCUGUCAGCAGGGAAGAAAAUGACGGUACCUGAAGAAGAAGCCCCGGCUAACUACGUGCCAGCAGCCGCGGUAAUACGUAGGGGGCAAGCGUUAUCCGGAUUUACUGGGUGUAAAGGGGGCGCAGACGGCGAUGCAAGCCAGGAGUGAAAGCCCGGGGCCCAACCCCGGGACUGCUCUUGGAACUGCGUGGCUGGAGUGCAGGAGGGGCAGGCGGAAUUCCUGGUGUAGCGGUGAAAUGCGUAGAUAUCAGGAGGAACACCGGCGGCGAAGGCGGCCUGCUGGACCGUGACUGACGUUGAGGCUCGAGAGCGUGGGGAGCAAACAGGAUUAGAUACCCGUGUAA
rnacentral:rRNA from 1 species